UAGCUGAUGACAAACUGAGGAACAAGACAGGCUGAACAUUCGCUAUAUUAAAACCAUGAAUGUGUCCCCAGACGUAGCUCUUUCCCGAGGUUUGGUUUUACAAAUGCUGGUGAUAAAC
rnacentral:snoRNA from 1 species